UCCCCUGGAAGAUGUAAUCACCAGUAUCGUUAUUGAGGAGGGAGGAGGGGAGAAGAAAACUCCAAACAGCAGAAAACAUUCCUGAGUUCUGUGCGCAGUGCCUUUGAUGGGUGUGCUCAGAUUUUUUUCAUCGAGGUGGUUUUGAAUCAGUUGCAGGCCUUCUUUCAUGUGGGUAACUAUUUAAAGAUGUGAUAUUCGGGGCAAGCGUUUGUACCAACUCAUUUUCUCUGUCUUCUCCCAGGCCGCUGAGGACCGCACAGGGGAGCGGGCGGCGGCAUCGCGAGGACUGACCACUGGGUGGCACUGUUGCUCCAUGGAGAGCUGCCAACGGCGUCCCCGGGGACCCGGCCACGUUGAGCACAAAAGGCAGAGGAGCCUGGCAACCAUGUCCCAAGUUGGAAGGAAGCUCUGAGAACCCUGCUCCCCAGAAAUCCUGAGCAAAGGCUGGCUGGCCUACAGGAGCAGUCUAGAGUAAGAGCUGUUUCCUGGCAGAGGAUCAAGUAUCCAGGUCACAUUGAAGAGACAUGUGAGGACUCCAAUGGAGAACAAUUUGAGAGUGAGAAACCAGUUCUGGAGGCCAGGAAGUUCAAGAUCAAGGUGUUGGCAAGUUCAGUGUCUGCUGAGGACCUGAUCUCUCUUCUUUCAAGAUGGCAUCUUGUUGCUCUUCCCUCCAGAGAGUAGAAAUGCUGGAACCUCACAUGGAGGAAAAAAUGAAAAGGACCAAUGCUAGUUCCCUUCAGCCUUUUUAUGAACUCACUAAUUCCCAUUGAGGGCUCCACAUACAUGACUUAAUCACCUCCUAAAUGCCUGACUUCCUAAUACUCUCAUUUUGAAGAUUAAGUUUCAACAUAUGAAUUUGGGGGUCAUAUUCAGAACAUAGCACUUAUGAUACUAUCUCAAAUCAUAGACUGCUUUCUCGGUGGGCAUCUAUCUCAGUUUCUUUUCUGUUGUUAUUACAGAGUACCUGAGCCUGAGUAAUUUAUAAAGAAAAUACAUUUAUUUUGGCUCAUGGCUCUAUAGGCUGGGAAGUCCAAGAUUGGGCGGUUACAUCUGGUUGGCUCCUGGUGCGGGCCUCCUGCCGCAUCAUAACAAGGUAGAGAAGUGAAAGGGAAGGUGGGCUUGUAGGAAGGGGGCAAAGCAUGAAGGGCAGGCUUGCUUUAUAGAAACUGGGACACAGCACCCCACAGGAUGAGUGUAUAAAGGCUAGACAGACAAGGGGAUUGUUGUGUUGAACCUGAAAAGUCCCCUCACCUGGCAAUGCUCUCUGUUCCCUGUGAGAAGAAGGGGUUUCUUUUCUUCUGGGAUGAUUCAUCCCUUCACCUGUGGCCUUCCCUAGAGCCCAUCCUUGUGCCAUUCUGCUCUCCAGGCACAUCUCUCUCAGAUGAAUUCCCUCUUCCCUCUUCCUCUGGCCCCUCCUGUUUAUUUAUCUGUUUCCUCACCACUGUGUAAUCAGGUAGGCCCCACUGCUGUGACCUCUGGAAUAAUGAUUGAAUCUGCCCUAUCCUCUCCACAGUGAUGCCUGGGACCCAGCUGAGAUCUCCAUCAUCUCUCAAAACAACUGUGCACUGACCUCCUGACCUAAGCCCAGCCUCUGCCCACUCAGACUGACCUUCACGCAGCUGCACAAUGCUGCAUUUGGAAGCCGGACCUGACCACAUUCGUUUCCCUCUGUUGGUCUGAUUGCCUAAAAAAUGAAGCUCUGGGAUAGGUUGCUUGUCUGACACUGUGUUCCUCUCCUGCUCCUCUUGCCACCUCCCUGGGACUCUGCCCUGCAAGAGCAUGCUGCAGCUCUCUGCACAUGCCAUCAGUCCUGUGCCUUCUCAUUUCCGUUAACAUUGCCACCUCCUUCCAGAAUGCUUUUCUGCUCACAUUAACCUGUCUGACUCCCACUUAGACUUUGCUCACAGGGCAUCAAUUCCAAAAUAAAUCGUAUGCCCUGCCUACCUCUUUCACCUUUCCUGACAAACUAGCUCUAGCUGCUGACUGUAGGAAGCCUGAAAAUCAAUAACUAGCUGUCUCAGCUGCAAGAAGGGGGAUAAGGGUUGGGCCAGGGUAUGAGUUAUAUCAAUGGCUUUUUUCUUUCAGAGAUUCAUGUUCUGGAGAAAUGAAAAUGCUGUCUCAGUGGAAUGUUGAUUAGCUGGAGUGGAGACCCAAGAUCUCUGUCCAGGCAGGGCCAUCAACUAGAGGUGGCCCUGUGAUUGAUGAGUGACCAGCCAUGUGUGGAGAAAAGCAAUGUGAACAACUUCUGACUUCGCUGUUAAAGAAAAUUGGUCUGUCCCCCAUUUCCUUGCAUUCCCAUUCUUACUGGCUGAAAUUCAAAGCUGAUAAAUGGAGCUAGAGCAGAUAGCUGGGAAAAUGAGUUGAGGGUCUUACAUUAAGACUUGCCAGCAAGAAGAAGAAUUUUUCCAGGGUUCCUGACACCGCCAAAUUGUUCGAUCAGCUCUGAACUCUAUACUGAGAUUCUUUAAGUAUGAGAGACAUGAACUUUGACUGGCUUAAGUGAGCUAUUGAGGUCUCUUUGCUAUUGUGACCUAACUCAGGGGUCAGCAAAUAACACUCUGUGCGCAAAAUCUGACUACGAUCUGUUUUUGUAACUAAAUAAAAUUUCACUGAAACACACCCAUGCUCAUUUAUUUAGGUAUGGCUGCUUUCAUGAUACCAUGGCACAUUUGACUACCUAUAGACAGUGAUAUGAUGUGGAUCUGUGUCCCCACCCAAAUCUCAUGUUGAAAUGUAAUCCCCCUGUGCUGGAGGUGGGAUCUGGUGGGAGGUGAAAUGGGGGCGGUUUCUCAAGAAUGGUUUAGCUCCAUUUCUCUGCUGCUGUAUUCAUGAUAGUAAGUGAGUGAGUUGUCACAAGAUCUGAUUGUGUAAAAGUGUGUGGCACCUCCCCCUUCUCUCUUGCUCCUUCUCGGCCAUGUAAGACCUGCCUGCUUCCCCUUCACCUUCCACCAUGAUUGUAAAUUUCAU
rnacentral:lncRNA from 1 species